CCAGACUCCUACGGGAGGCAGCAGUGGGGGAUAUUGCACAAUGGGGGAAACCCUGACCCAGCAACGCCGCGUGAAGGAAGAAGGCUUUCGGGUUGUAAACUUCUUUUGACAGGGAAGAGCAGAAGACGGUACCUGUCGAAUAAGCCACGGCUAACUACGUGCCAGUAGCCGCGGUAAUACGUAGGGGGCAAGCGUUAUCCGGAUUUACUGGGUGUAAAGGGAGCGUAGACGGUCCUGCAAGCCAGAUGUGAAAGCCCGGGGCUCAACCCCGGGACUGCAUUUGGAACUGUAAGGCUAGAGUGUCGGAGAGGCAGGCGGAAUUCCUAGUGUAGCGGUGAAAUGCGUAGAUAUUAGGAGGAACACCAGUGGCGAAGGCGGCCUGCUGGACGAUGACUGACGUUGAGGCUCGAAAGCGUGGGGAGCAAACAGGAUUAGAUACCCUAGUA
rnacentral:rRNA from 1 species